rnacentral:lncRNA from 1 species
AAAAUACCCAUUUAUCUUUUCUUGUGCUUAAUAGCUUUAUCUUUUUUUUAAAUUUUUACACUAUCUUAUUCUUUUCUCUUUAACAGAAAGUAAAUAUGUAUAAAAUUUGAAGGAACCGAACUAACAAUACAUUCUGUGUAUAUUAUUUUAAUGAAGAAAAUAAAUUGAUUACUGGCCUUGGAACAGAAUAAAAUACCAGUUUGUACAGUAGGACCUAUAUGUGACCUAUGUUACUCCCUUCCAUUUCACACGAGGAAAUAGACACAACUUCUGUUCACAUGAUAUACUGGCUCCACCCUUUGGUGCUGGCAGUGUUUGGGGACGUUAUGCUGGAAAGAGCUCCUGGCGUCAGAGGAUUAACACUAG